rnacentral:rRNA from 1 species
AUCCUGGCUCAGGACGAACGCUGGCGGCGUGCCUAACACAUGCAAGUCGAACGGAACUGUUUUGAAAGAUUUCUUCGGAAUGAAUUUGAUUUAGUUUAGUGGCAGACGGGUGAGUAACGCGUGAGUAACCUGCCUUCAAGAGGGGGAUAACACUCUGAAAAGAAUGCUAAUACCGCAUGAUAUAUCGGAACCACAUGGUUUUGAUAUCAAAGAUUUUAUCGCUUGAAGAUGGACUCGCGUCCGA